AGCAGUGUGGUACAGUGUUUCAGUGUUGGAUUGUGACUCUGGAGACCAGGGUUCGAUUCCUUGCUCAGCCA